AAGGAAGUGGAGACAGAAGAACUUGAAGGUGUUGCUUCUUGUCUUUCAGGGCCAGAGUUUUCAUGGAUAUUGGCAUACGUUUCUAUGAGAAGCUGCCACAGAGUCCUGCAGGACAAGUAUGGGGAGUUUUCUCCUCCAGCAUAUCACAGCGAUGCCCCAAUAAGCUUCUGGUGCAACUGGACUAUCCAGGCGGGCUCCAGAAAGCACAUAAUCAUUUAUAUUCAGGGAUUUAUGACUAAGGAGGAUUGCAACAAAAAUGAGGACAAAAUCUUGUUUGAAGGAGUUUCCUCACUGGUAGAGGACAGUGUGGUUUAUGCUUGCUGGAAAAAGGAGAUGCAUGUUUUUGCCACCUUUGCUGAGGCCGUCCAUGUUGUGUUACUGAAGACAUACCUGCCCAACUGCAGAGACACGCAAUUUAAAGGCAAGUAUUACAUCUUUCACGAUGAGGAAGGUGAAUCAUCCUCGAGAGAGGAUCUGAUUUCUGAAACUCCUUCAAAAGUACCGAAGCGAGAUCAUAUUCUUCAGUCUGGGGUGAUGGAAGACCUUAGAGAUGUGCUGAGCUUUGCAACCACUGCGAGCCUUGGGAGUCUUGAUAAGCCCACGGCAGUUAGCACUUUGAUCCCAGUGUCGCACCAAGGGCUGAGGACAGAGCUGCUGGAAACAAAUGCUCCUUAUGUGCUGGGCUGCCUGUGGCCGGCAGCUCCAGCGCUCUGUGGGCAGGACCCAGGCAGAGGAAGCUCUUGGAGUGCAAGCCCCACUGCAACCCUGGAUACCUGGAGGCCCAGUCUCUCCAUGAGUGGAGACAUUGCUGUGGAUUUUGGUUAUAUACAUGGAUUUUCAAGCGUGCUUUCUGAAACACCGUUGCUUGGUGCUUUGGAGGGAGAGGAGCCUUUCCUGGGGCCUGCUGGUGUGGGCUUGGAGAGCAGGCAGGUGUCCCUGAACCCUUCUCUGCAGCCCAAAGAUCUGGGAGACCCACAGUUUAACAUCAAACCAACGCACAUGAGUGACCUGGACUUGGCUGCACCUUCACAGGCUUUGUCUCCCAGCAGAGAAGAGGGCAUUGAUCCUGCCGUGUACCAGGGGCUCAGCACAGUUGGGUUGGAGAAGACCAAAAGGUGUCCCCUGUUGAGCAGUGUGGCUGAUGGAGCAGCGAGCAGUCUUGCCGAGAGCCUGAUGCCUAGCUUGACUAGCCAAAACGAUCUGGUAAAUGGGGGUCACUCACCACUGCUACCUGGGAGAAGCUUUUUUGAGGCUUUGUCCGUGACUGAACCUGAGCUGAGAACAAGUGUCCUCCAGCAUAUGACGUUUGUGGGUUUUCCUGCUCCGGGAAGUUUCAGGGGAGUUACUGAUGAGGUGAAGAAGGUGCUACAUCCUACAGCAUCGUGGGACAUCCUCAGAGGCCAACCUCAGCUGAGCACCCAGAGCAGCCAUGUCCUCCAGUUAGUCCCUACUGACCCCAGGAGGGUUGGCCCAUGCAGUGAUCAUGUGCCCUGUGCGCCCUCUUUGGGUGUGAAAAACUGUGGCUCUCUGAGCAGCACUGUGACACAGCUGCCGUUGGCCAUUCCCCUUCUGCCAGCAGCAUGGGGAUGUGCUCCCUCCACGUCAGAGCCAGUAUUUUCCACCCUGGGGAUGGAAAUGACUCCGAUGCUGGUGUGUCCCAGCCUAGACCCUGCCUCAACAGAGCUCGGCUCCCCUGAUUUCACCCUGGCAGCAUCUUUGCCUGCAGAACAGACUGCGGAGCUGGGGAUGUCAGAGCCUUUUGCUGUUUUCACUGCAAAUGCUGAGGCCUUCACAGCACUGCCAACCUGGGAGCUGGGGGGACUUGUCGAGGGGAUGGAGCCCCCUGUGCCAGCAGCCUUUCCCCUGGAAGGCUUGGACAAGGCUUGGACCUCCAUCUCCCCAAGCCCUCGACAGGGAAGUGACCUUAUGGGUCCCUUUGUGGCCUCCUCCAGCUGCCUCGGCCCCGGUGUGAGAAAGCUCGUGCUGGAUGGGGAUGGAGAGGAGGGCAGCUGGAGAGGUGAAGUGUUGGCUCCUGCAGGCUGGGCAGACAAGGGACCCAUCCCUGCUGCCAGUGCUGCUUGGCAGCAGGUCCUCGACCCACAGCUUGGCAUGGGGCUUCCUCAGCCAGAGGACCUGGUGGCGGCAUCUCUCCCAUCAGCACCUGUGUCUCUGCCCUCUGAUGACCCCGUAUCCCAAAACAUACGGAUACCAGCAGGAGGAGAACGUCACAAACAUGCUGAGCUGGGAUCGCCCUGGACAAUGGAGUACUUCCCUGUUAGGAGCUGCCACAUCAUCUUGCAGGGUGAAUUUGGCUUGUUCUACCUGCCGCUGCACAGUGACAUUAAAACCAAUGUUUGGUGCAACUGGACCAUCUGGGCCGGCCCCCAGAAACACAUCCUGAUCUAUGUCCAGGGGUUUCAGGCGAGUGAAGGCUGUGAUAAGAACCAGGAUAAGAUAAUUUUCCAAGGGGUCUUGUCCGAUGUGGAAACAAAAGUAGUGUAUGCCUGCCACAACCGAGGUACUCUGAUCUUUGCUACACAAGCUACUGCGGUCCAUGUGUUACUUCUAUCAGGGGGUAGUUCCAAAUACAAACAUUUUAAAGGACGGUAUUAUGUAUUCAGAGACUAUACAACUGUGGGCUCUUCAAAUGAUGCAAUAGCUCCUGUCUGGGAAAUCUCCAAGACAGAUAUCUCCAGCAAGGUCAGACACCCUCAUGCUCCCAAAGAUGCUAAUGGAGGUGAGCUCAGUCUGCUGGAAGAUGAAACGGAGCUGGAAAGAAGCCUUAGAGAUGGCAGUGCUGAGGGGAGAGGAGAGAGUGAAGAUGUGUUGGUGGAGCCACCUGCAGCCAGGGGAGACACUGGGGGAAAUACCAAGCUGCCAGCCUUGGAGAUCACAGAGCGAGGUGUACAGCCUGAGCCUGCUCUGGUCCCCACAGCCCCCUGUAGCACCACGGAUGUCCCUUUGGAAGCACCCAGCAGCUCUGCAGGGCCCUCAGCUGCUGAAAUCCUGCCUAACCUCGCUCAGAUGCGCAGCAGCCUGUUGGCGGGAGUGGCUGCUGCCACUGGGCGUUUGCAUGCACAGACGGUGGUGAUGGAAGGGCCACCACUUAACGCGAGUGUGAAACCUUCUCCUCUCUACCCAUCUCCUGGUAUGACUGCUGAAGAUACGGUGAUGCCAGGAGAAAGGCACGAAGAUCUCUUCGAUCUGGCUUCUGUUUUGGCAUCCCUUGAGAAUGAUACUGUGCUACGAUCCCAGCACCAUCCUGGAGAUGUGCUGUUUGAAGUAACCAUUGAAACCAAACACGUGGACUGGGUCCCUCGUGGUGGAAGUGAGCUCAGAAAGGACCUUCUUGAAUCCAUGAAGAGUCAUAUCCGGGAGAACCUGAAACUCUCCACCAACAGAGUGAAUGAAAUAAAAUUAAAGGAAAUCAGAAGGGUGGGCAGAGACAACCUACUGCUCACCUUCUGGCUCCACCUGAAGCCCGAGGAGAGGAACCUGUCUCUGGCCCUGCAGUCGCAGCUGCAGGAGCUGCUUGGCACAUCUGUGGGAGCAGAGAGGCCGCGGCUGGUUUCGCUCUUUGUUGAAGAUGUGAACGAGUGCAACCUCGGCCUCUGCGGCGAGGAGGCCGACUGCUUCAACGGUGUGGGCACCUACCUGUGUCGCUGCAAGAAGGACUACGAAGAUCACUCCCCUACAAAAUCUGGCACGCUGUGCAUCCCCGCGCCCCGGUCAGGCAUCAGCUUUUUCUUCCGCCAUCCCGAGGUGCUGGUGGGGGCUGCUGUCUCCUCAGUGCUGGUGCUGCUGGUGGCCGUGGGCAUCCUGUGCGGGGUGGCAAGGCAACGGCGCCCCACCGGGGAUCCCUGCCCCGAGGAGCCGGGUGCCCAGUCCGAGGAGUCGUCACCAGUGGCAGUGGUGAUGGAGCUGAACCACCUGGAUGACUGCCUCCGCCUUGAGCCCUUCCAGCUCAAGGUCCGCGCGCGGCCCCCGGACUGGAUCUCCCAAGCCCGUGCCAGCCCUGGCCAGGCCUAUGGGGUCUUCAUCGAGCAGGAUGAGAGCCUGUGAUUGGCUGGUGAGGGAGGAGAGAAAGCUCAGAGCAACAAAACAAUAAAAACAAGAUGCAACCAGCA
ensembl:lncRNA uncharacterized LOC104151891